UUGAAUAUGGUAUUACUUUGCUUUAGAGACACAGCCACAGAUGUGUAGUACGGUUGUAAAACAAUGAUAAAAAUCAACAAGUCCUACCUAUUUGCACAGGCACUUGUGUCUUGUGACGGUGCUGCGUAACGGGUCAGCAGAAGUGUCCGGUCAAAAGUCAGCCCCCGCGGUCAAAGCAGCUCCUUUCUGCCAGGAAGCUCCGGCUCUGCAGCAACGCAGCAUUGGGAGUGGGAGAGGGGACAAGGCGUAAGGAUGUAGGAGUUACCUCCGUCGCCUCAAUGACCGGCAGAUACAGGCUGUGAGACAGCGAGGCUACAGGUUGAAGCUGGUGGAGAACGACGAUGUUGUGGUGGGAAUGGAGUGAUCCUCGUCAAAGCAAAUCUUUAAAUGCUGGCACCAGCAAAAUAUGACGCCCUCAUCUCAGAACAAUACGCCUACAACAACAGCAAAGGCAGCCCUCCAGUCUGAUAUCUGCAGAGACUUUCUGGGGAAGGGAGAUUGCAGGAGGCGCUGCUCUCAGUGUUUUCUAGUCGUAAGCACCCAUUUCUUUGGCAGAUUUAGUCUAAAGCGAGAUCACCUGUUUGAUCCCCAGACAGAAGAAUGUGGAAGCGAGAGAGGGAGAGGAGAGUGCGUGAGACACAGAAUGGAGAGAAGAGGGUGUUGAUCCAACUUAUGACAGCAGACCGCAGGGGAGGAGCUUCGUCCUGGGUGACCUCUGCUGAUGCUGCAGCAGCAUGUUUCCCUCUAGGGUCCCUCUAUAAUUAGAGACUGACCUUGGAAGUUCUCUACCUGCCUGUUGAGAGCAGCCAUGUUGGUAAUGAUCACUGCUUUCAUGAUGAGAUAUGUCCCUACCUUUAGAGUAGAGUACUCUACUAUUGAUUCUAGGUAUGGUUUCUCUUUCUGUUGUUUUCACCCUGACAAAAAAAGAAAAAUAAAUAAAUAAAUAAA